rnacentral:rRNA from 1 species
UCCGUAGGUGAACCUGCGGAAGGAUCAUUGUCGAAACCUGCCCAGCAGAACGACCCGUGAACCAGUUGAUAUCACCGGCGGCGGGAGGGGGGACGCGUCCGCAGCGGGCGCUCCUCCUUCCCGUCCCACGCCGCGGGGAGAGGGACUCGUCCCGCUCCUGGCUGGCGAAACAACGAACCCCCGGCGCGGACUGCGCCAAGGAAAUCUAACGAGAGAGCACGCUCCCGCGGCCCCGGAGACGGUGCGCUGUGGGGUGCGGCGCCUUCUUUCACAUGUAUCAAAAACGACUCUCGGCAACGGAUAUCUCGGCUCUCGCAUCGAUGAAGAACGUAGCGAAAUGCGAUACUUGGUGUGAAUUGCAGAAUCCCGUGAACCAUCGAGUCUUUGAACGCAAGUUGCGCCCCAAGCCAUUAGGCCGAGGGCACGUCUGCCUGGGUGUCACGCAUCGUUGCCCCACCCCACCCCCCCAAACCAAGGCGGGGGCCCUGGGGUGCGGGCGGAGAUUGGCCUCCCGUGCGCUGACCGCUCGCGGUUGGCCCAAAUAUGAGUCCUCGGCGACCGAAGCCGCGGCGAUCGGUGGUGAAACAAAGCCUCUCGAGCUCCCGCCGCGCGCCCGGUCUCCAAGUGUGGACUCUGCGACCCUGAAGCUCCGCGCAAGCGGCGCUCGCAUUGCGACCCCAGGUCAGGCGGGAUUACCCGCUGAGUUUAGGCAUAUCAAUAAGCGGAGGA